AGGACAAGGCUAGGUGGUUAGUGAUGAAGAGGAGGAUGAGGCUAGGUGGUUAGUGAUGAAGAGGAGGAUGAGGCUAGGUGGUUAGAGUGAUGAAGAGGAGGACAAGGCUAGGUGGUUAGAGUGAUGAAGAGGAGGACAAGGCUAGGUGGUUAGAGUGAUGAAGAGGAGGACAAGGCUAGGUGGUUAGAGUGAUGAAGAGGAGGACAAGGCUAGGUGGUUAGAGUGAUGAAGAGGAGGACAAGGCUACGUGGUUAGAGUGAUGAAGAGGAGGACAUUAGUUACAGGUUUAAAGUUUACAACUCUAUAUGAUGAGAGCGCUCUGGUUCUCCUUGUAGAUUCUCAUCCAUGCUAACGCUAAGUACAUGAUGAGAGAGCUCUGGUUCUCCUUGUAGAUUGUCAUCCAUGCUAAUGCUAAAUACAUGAUGAGAUAGCUCUGGUUCUC
ensembl:lncRNA